rnacentral:siRNA from 1 species
GGCUGUCAGCGGACUGCUC